rnacentral:rRNA from 1 species
CUUCAAUUCAUCAUAGAUAGAAUCAAAGCCCGACUUGCGGGUUGGAAGGGCAGGCUGAUCCACAUCGCGGGACGACGCGUGCUAGUCCGCUGCGUCCUCGGCGCCAUGCCUACCUUCGCGCUAACCGUUCUGCGGAUGCCCAAGAAGAUCCUCAAGGAAAUCGACAAGUGCCAUCGCCGCUUCCUCUGGAAACAGGAUGAGGUGAUCACCGGCACCAGUUGCAAGGUGAACUGGGAAACUAUCUACACGCCA